GGUGUCGAAAGACUCAAUAGAGAAAUCGGUAUAAGCCGAUGGGUCCCGCCACUGUAAGAGGAGCGACUCUUGAUUAUGCCACUGGAGUAAUCUGGGAAGGUAAGAGAAGCGAUGAAUCUAAGCCAGGAGAACUGCCUAUUUAA
rnacentral:ncRNA from 1 species